rnacentral:tRNA from 1 species
GCUCUCUUAGCUCAGUUGGUAGAGUACUUCAUUCGUAACGAAGGGGACACAAGUUCAAGUCUUGUAGGGAGUA